UACAGAGGGUGCGAGCGUUAAUCGGAAUUACUGGGCGUAAAGCGCGCGUAGGCGGCUUUGCAAGUCGGGUGUGAAAUCCCCAGGCUUAACCUGGGAACUGCAUUCGAGACUGCAUUGCUAGAGUAUGGGAGAGGGAAGUGGAAUUUCCGGUGUAGCGGUGAAAUGCGUAGAUAUCAGGAGGAACACCGGUGGCGAAGGCGGGUCUCUGGGCCGAAAUUGACGCUGAGGAGCGAAAGCGUGGGGAGCAAACAGG
rnacentral:rRNA from 1 species